CCAUUGUAAUUCCUUUUCCUACCAAGUGGUGGCACUAUAUAACUACGAGGCAGGCAAGCCAGGUGACCUGAUCUUUCAGGAGGGGGACAUCAUCUACCUCACCAGCAGGAAUGAGGAUGGCUGGUGAGAGGGCGUUCUGAAUGGAGUAAAGGGUUAUUUUCCUGGCAACUAUGUGGAGUCCACUGCUUAACUGGCCAUAAGAAUCCAGAAUGUCAGUGAACCAACUAUUUGAAACCACCAAAGUGAAGGCACUUUGUAUUCGCAUUUUAUAAAAUGAAACAGUGAAAUGACUGGCUGAAGUUUUAAAACAUUCCAACUAACAUGCUGACUGAUGUUUCCAGCAGAGAGGAGUUUGUGUGGACAUGAAAAGCCGCUCUUAUUUUAAAGUUUAUUUUGGUCUUAAAUAAUGAUAAUGAUAAUGAUAAUGGAUCUCUCAGGACUUUAAGUUAUAAUCUAAAUGUACAAUAUAUAAAGAAACAUUUUUGUACAUUUAGCUGUAUUUGAUAAGUUCACAAAGCAGAUAGUGGGUGGUGUUUGUUUAAAUUAUGUUGAGCAAAUAAUGAAAUAAUAUAUUUGUGUAAUAUAAUUUAGUUUUCUAAUUGUAAACCUUUAUUACUCAUAAAUUGAUAACAUUUUAUUGAUUCCCUAGCAAAUGAGUAGCAGUAUUUUCCCAAACUUUUUUCACCCUAGUAAGUGACUGAAAUCUGUUAAUAUACAAAAUUCAGUCACAAUUUCAUGAUACCAAGUAGGCAUUUAGAGUCUAUACAAUCAAUAAACUGUUGACAUUGAUGUCUUGGAAUAAAGUUUUUAAUUUGUUUCAUGUUAAUUAUUACUAUCCACUCAUUAUACAAAGAUCUUUUGACCUGUUUAUUAAUGAUGAUCUGACUCAUAUGCACCAGUAGCCUUAUUAUUUAAAUUUUUUGUUCUCCUUUAGAUUGUUACUCAUGUUCAUGAAAGAUAUUAAACCUUCCAUAGUUUCUUCAAACUAAAUGUGCUCCUAUUCUAUUUAUUUCACAUAAAUAAAAGGGGAAAUUCUAGGGAUUUAUGUGCAUUUGGGGACAGAAAAGUCAUGCUUGUGGUCAUGGACCAGUUGUACCGAAACCAAAACUACUAAAAAUGUCUGCUGGCCCAAAGCUUUCAUUUUCAACAGGGAGGGGAAAUAUAAUGAUAUAGAUAACAUAAUGACUGUUCUUUAAUGAUAAAUUGAAGUAAUAAAGUGAAAGAAUAAUAAUAAUGAAGCACAUUGUUGCUGUGUGAUGAUUAAAAAGAAUGAAGUGCUGCAAAGACAAUGUUCUGCAACAGGAAACACGUGAUAUAGGUGCUGUGUCUUUAAACAGUCGACAGUCACCAUAAAAGUGUUCAGACUUCACUAUCAGCACUACAACCCCUCCCUCAGAUAAGACUUGGUCUCAAAUCAGAGCAGUGCACUCGGAGUCUACAUUAUUGACGUAAUCGCCUGAAUUCUUUGAGAGUUGCUUUUGAAUUGGGAAUUUCUUCAUUGCCAUGGACUACAGUGAUCGAUUUUUAUUAUUUAAGAUCCUCGCACCUGUGAUAACCUCUGUUUUUUUGGCAAUCUGCUGUACUGCCUUCUGUAAAAUGUUCUGUCGGGCCCGUAAUCAGCGCAUAGAGCGCCUGCAGGCUCAAGCUCAAGUCAGGGAUCAACAGUCUGUCUACGUCAUUCCGAUCUCUCUGUCCGAUGAUGACCUGCACAGACCGCCACGCUACAGCACCGUACAGUUCUACGAACCGCCUCCUGCUUAUAACGAGUUACAUAUGAAGACAGAAAUCCCUCUGGAAUCCCCUCCUGCAUAUUCAGAAUCUGUCUCUGCCUCACCUUCACAUUCAUGAAUCAUGAUCACACCAAACAUAAGAGUAUCUCAAGCACUUGGACUGGUUAAAGGGAAAAAAGAAGGGGAAAAUUGGGAUUCUCGUGACUUUUUCUAAGGACUAUGAUUCAUUCUACCUAUGCAAAGGAUAGUGAGGAAUUUAAAUAGUGAGGAAGACAAUGGCACAGAUGUGAUGAUCUGUGAUUCUGCUGGGAUUUUGAACAUGUCUUACACGGUCAGGAAAAAAUGUAAAAAUGUAUAUAUGUUUUUAGUGAAUAUUUAUAAAUUUUGCACACGCUAGCUAAACCCUUUUUGUUAACUUUGUGAAAUGAAAUGUGUUAAUUUAUAACAAAUGUUGUAAAUGGUUGACUUGCUGUAAAUUGUAUUGUGAAAACUAUAGGUAAACCUGUUUAAAUAAAAAAAAAGUGUUGUAAAAACACUGGCUUUAAA